rnacentral:rRNA from 1 species
AGAGGACCGGGAUGGACAUACCUCUGGUGUACCAGUUGUUCUGCCAAGAGCACCGCUGGGUAGCUACGUAUGGAUUAGAUAAUCGCUGAAAGCAUCUAAGUGAGAAACUAACCUCGAGAUGAGAUUUCCCAUUCGUCAGAAGUAAGACCCCUGAGAGACGAUCAGGUAGAUAGGCUAGAAGUGGAAGUGUAGUGAUGCAUGGAGCGGACUAGUACUAAUAGGUCGAGGACUUAACCAAG